GAACGAACGCUGGCGGCGCGCCUAACACAUGCAAGUCGAACGAGAAGGCGUAGCAAUACGCUUGUAGAGUGGCGAACGGGUGAGUAAUACGUGGGUGACCUACCCUCGAGUGGGAAUAACCCGCCGAAAGGCGGGCUAAUGCCGCGUACGCUUCCGUCCUCACGGGACGGAAGGAAAGCUGUACCGUGGUACGGCGCUCAAGGAUGGGCUCACGUCCUAUCAGCUUGUUGGUAGGGUAACGGCCUACCAAGGCUACGACGGGUAGCUGGUCUGAGAGGACGAUCAGCCACACUGGCACUGCGACACGGGCCAGACUCCUACGGGAGGCAGCAGUGAGGAAUAUUGCGC
rnacentral:rRNA from 1 species